CUGAGGAACGAAAGCAUGGGUAGCGAAGAGGAUUAGAUACCCUCGUAGUCCAUGCCGUAAACGAUGUGUGUUAGACGUUGGAAAUUUAUUUUCAGUGUCGCAGCGAAAGCAAUAAACACACCGCCUGGGGAGUACGACCGCAAGGUUAAAACUCAAAUGAAUUGACGGGGACCCGCACAAGUAGUGGAGCAUGUGGUUUAAUUCGAAGAUACGCGCAGAACCUUACCAACACUUGACAUGUUCGUCGCGACUUUAAGAGAUUAAAGUUUUCGGUUCGGCCGGACGAAACACAGGUGCUGCAUGGCUGUCGUCAGCUCGUGUCGUGAGAUGUUGGGUUAAGUCCCGCAACGAGCGCAACCCUCACUUUUAGUUGCCAUCAUUUAGUUGGGCACUCUGAAAGAACUGCCAGUGAUAAGCUGGAGGAAGGUGGGGAUGACGUCAAGUCCUCAUGGCCCUUAUGUGUUGGGCUACACACGUGCUACAAUGGUAUCUACAACAGGAAGCAAAACAGCGAUGUUAAGCAAAUCCCGAAAAGAUACCUCAGUUCGGAUUGCACUCUGCAACUCGAGUGCAUGAAGCUGGAAUUACUAGUAAUCGUGGAUCAGCGUGCCACGGUGAAUACGUUCCCGGGUCUUGUACACACCGCCCGUCACACCAUGGGAGUUGGUUCUACCUUAAGGCAAGGUUUC
rnacentral:rRNA from 1 species